UACGGGGGGGGCAAGCGUUGUUCGGAAUUACUGGGCGUAAAGGGCUCGUAGGCGGCCAACUAAGUCAGACGUGAAAUCCCCAGGCUCAACCUGGGAACUGCGUCUGAUACUGGAUGGCUUGAAUCCGGGAGAGGGAUGCAGAAUUCCAGGUGUAGCGGUGAAAUGCGUAGAUAUCAGGAAGAACACCCGUGGCGAAGGCGGUUCUCUGGAACGCAACUGACGCUGAGACGCGAAAGCGUGGGGAGCAAACAGG
rnacentral:rRNA from 1 species